AGUUGCUGUGAUGACAAUGGUGAUGACAACGUGGAUAGAAACGUUAACGUCAACACCAAUGCCAACAAUAACGACUA